rnacentral:lncRNA from 1 species
AAAGCAUCACAUUAGGAUAUGAAUUGGCAUUAAAAUCUUUGGAUGCUUUUUGCAUUGUUUAGUUAAUGGGGGAAUAUUUUGUAUUGUCUUCUUUUUAUUAUUAUGUGUGUGUUAACAAAGUGGGCAGAGUAAAGUUUGCAGAAUUUAGUCUCUCUGUAAAUUUUUGCACAGUGGCUGCAGCUCGCUAUGGGUGAGGGCUUAGUGGUGCAAAGCUUUGAUUGGAAGGCACUGGAGGAACACCUCCCAGUACAUUCAGCCUGGUUCUUACUCAUCUUAGCCUUGUGAGGUAUACUGCAGUAUGAAGAAUUUAUUUCUUUAACUCAAUAGUGACCUUGUUUAUUUAAUUGGGAUUCUUAACAAAAUUCUUAGUCUGCAGUGAAGAAGUAAGAAAUGCCUCCAUUUUGUGUUGACUAACACUGUCUGCCUAAAAGUAUUUCCUUCACGUGUUCACUU